rnacentral:rRNA from 1 species
CCCUUAGAUGUUCUGGGCUGCACGCGCGCUACACUGAAGCGUUCAACGAGUAUUCACCUUGCCCGGGAGGGUUGGGUAAUCUUUUGAAAACGCUUCGUGAUGGGGAUAGAUUAUUGCAAUUAUUAAUCUUGAACGAGGAAUUCCUAGUAAACGCAAAUCAUCAAUUUGCAUUGAUUACGUCCCUGCCCUUUGUACACACCGCCCGUCGCACCUACCGAUUGAAUGGUCCGGUGAAGCCUCGGGAUUGUGGCCAGUUCACUUUAUUGGGAGUUGGCUGUGAGAACUUGUCUAAACCUUAUCAUUUAGAGGAAGGUGAAGUCGUAACA